GCUGAGGGCGAUCUCCGCCUUCCCGGACGAGGUGCGCCGUACCCGGCACGACAAGACGACGCUGA
rnacentral:ncRNA from 1 species